rnacentral:tmRNA from 1 species
GGGACCGCAAAGGUUUCGACGCACUGGUAGAAGUUUCUUCGUGAUGCAGGCCGAGAGGGAGUCAUCUCUCGUAAAUCAAGGCUCAAAAAAAAGUAAAUGCGAACAACAUCGUACCCUUUGCUCGUAAAGCAGCGCUGGUAACUGCCUAGUCACUGCCUAAGGACUUAAGUCUAAACACUUAAACAAUGUCUCGAGCCUCGCUAAAGGACUCCGUUAACUUUACCGAGAAACCCCAACGGAUGCCCUCUUCUCGCAACUGGUUUCUUCGAGAAAUUCUUCUAGAAACAAGAUUGCGUUCUGUAUUCAGUCAGAGGAAGAGGUAAGCCAAUACUGAGGUCUCUUGCGAACAGAGUAAGGUUCGUCUCCCGCUGCAAGGGGUCUUCCGAGAAGCGCAGCUAAACCUGUGAAAGAGCGGAAAAUGGAAACGAUUGCGGACGGCAGUUCGAUUCUGCCCGGUUCCAUAU